rnacentral:rRNA from 1 species
GACAGAGGGGGCAAGCGUUGCUCGGAAUUACUGGGCGUAAAGGGCGCGUAGGCGGGCUGGCAAGUCGGUCGUGAAAUCCCUCGGCUCAACUGAGGAGCGUCGAUCGAAACUGCCGUUCUUGAGGGUUGCAGGGGAGACUGGAAUUCCCGGUGUAGCGGUGAAAUGUGUAGAGAUCGGGAGGAACACCGGUGGCGAAGGCGGGUCUCUGGGCAACUCCUGACGCUGAGGCGCGAAAGCGUGGGGAGCAAACGGG